rnacentral:tRNA from 1 species
GCCUGGGUGGCUCAGUCGGUUGAGCAUCUAUCUGCCUCUUGAUUUCAGCUCAGGUCAUAGUUUCAUGGUUUGUGGGUUCGAGUCCUGCAUCAGGCU